UUGACUAGAACUACCUCCUUGGAUAAAUAUUUAUAUGCAAACAUGGCUGGUGGAGAAAGGAGGAAGGAAGCACUUGAGCUACUGGACAUGCACUAGAUGAAGGUAAAGCUAUAAACCUUUUCAUGCUCCUUGUGGUGUUAUUCCUGUAAACAGAAAAUGAAGUGCAAUGAUAUAUCUUAAUAGUCAAGUAUUUUUUUUUUCAAUGUUGAUGUUCCCAGUUUCAUGCGCUAUGAUUUGAAUGUCUCUUUAGGUAAUCCAAAAGGCAACCAUGUGAGUUUGCUAUAAAGAAAAUCAUGUGUAUAGUUAUAUUUUUUAAUUAAUAUAUGUGAUGGUUCAAAUGUCUUGCACAUUAUCCUAGAAAAGGUGAUGUGAAGCAGGCAGUAUGUUCUUUGAACUUUGCAAUAGACUGCAAUUUUCAGAGCUAACCUACUUACUACUAUUUUCAAAUGUUUCCUACAUAAAUUUCGUUAUUGCUAAGCUCAGUCAUCAAAGAUAUGCUUUUGUAAUAGAUUUUAGAAAAGCAAGGAAAUAAAAAGAAAACUUAAUUUGAUGUCCUUUUCAAACCAAAAUUUGAUGUCGAGGACAACUUCAGCACUUGAUACAAGAAGAGAUGCACAUUCGUCCACCUUCGAGAUAGGAAAUUGCAGAUACAUGUGAAGUUGAAAAAAUUCAUGACAGAGAAACUGUUUCUGCUAUUUUGCUUUCUGUUCCAAGCAGAAUGUGCGCGAUUUUAAGUAUUGAAAUUCAUGCACUAUCUCUAAAGUUGAAUAUAUUUUGAUCUUUAGGUCAUUGCUUCCGACGAACUAUACUUCAACUUUGUAUUAUCAGCUUACUGGUUGGAUAAGGUAGCCUCACCUACUCAUAUAUCAGCCAGUCAGAGCCCUACCUGGCUACUUGGUUUAGCUUGUUCUAUUCUUUUUUAUAUUAUUUUCUUUUUCUCCCUGACUAAGACUAAGGUGUGGGAAUUGCCCUUUUCCUCAUUGUACUUUCUUCUCCACCACCAAUCGCCCAUCUUAUAAGGUCUCCAUAUGAGAUAAUUGUUUUAUUCUAAUCCAUCUACUGUUUCACAGAUAAAAGUGUGGAGGGUUGGAAAGGGUGAUCUUUCUUGUCCAUGUUGUUGUUACAAAGGAGCAACAAGGCUCUGCUCUGUCCUUCUAAAUUUUGUGACAUCAUGUUCAUUCUAAUAAUUAUGAAAAGAAUAUUGGUCAACUAUAGCGUUUUCCCAUGACUAAAGAUAUUCCUUUUGUUUUUUAACUUGACGAUCUAAGAAGUACGCUCGUCGAGUUAUGGAACCUCAUGGAAGCACAGAUGGUUGCUGAUAGACUCCUUUUUGGUAUAUUCCUGGUAUAGGUAAAAGCAAAAGCACUUAUCCUUUAAAUGAUACUUUCAAUUUGUAUACAUUUAUUUAUAUAUUGUUUUAUGCCACAGGAGUUGGCGCUCAUUAUCUAUGCUUUGCUUUUUGACGCAUUGUUGCUUUGUUAUCUCUUAUAUGUCAGAGCAAACCAUCUAUAGAUAUAUGCUUCAGUUCCAAGUGGAGACUACAGGCAAAUAUUGGACGUAACUUGAAGAUUUUCAUCUGGCAACACAGCCAGUUAUUGAUUUCCGACAUGCAUGAUGCAUGAGGUGGAAAUAUAGAAAUUUGGAUGAAUUCUUUGCAUAGGAUUUCAAUACUUGCUAUGUUUAAUGGAGAUAAGCUUGUUUGGAAGGAAAAACUUGAGAGAUUGAUCUACUGAGCAUCUCAAGCAAGAGUUGUCAUUCAUGUUCUGAAAACUCCAAGGCAAUAUCUCUGGCACUGGAAUUGUGCCGGUCGCAUGCCAAUGAUUGGCAGGCUGCAGUGCCAUUUUAAUUCCUUCCAUUUGUUUCUGCUUGGAAAAUGAAAAUUCUUGAAUGCCUGUAAUUUAUCUGGUGGAUGUCAAUUAGCUACAGUUGGAUAUGAUGUAUUUUAUUUGAAUUUUUUGUUGGCUAUGAACAAAUUAAUAUUAUACUAAAAUGAGAAAUAAAUUCUGCUUGGUCAUUGGUUCAGG
rnacentral:lncRNA from 1 species